rnacentral:rRNA from 1 species
GUGGGGAAUAUUGGACAAUGGGCGGAAGCCUGAUCCAGCCAUGCCGCGUGUGUGAAGAAGGCCUUUUGGUUGUAAAGCACUUUAAGCGAGGAGGAGGCUCCUUUAGUUAAUACCUAAAGUGAGUGGACGUUACUCGCAGAAUAAGCACCGGCUAACUCUGUGCCAGCAGCCGCGGUAAUACAGAGGGUGCGAGCGUUAAUCGGAUUUACUGGGCGUAAAGCGUGCGUAGGCGGCUUUUUAAGUCGGAUGUGAAAUCCCUGAGCUUAACUUAGGAAUUGCAUUCGAUACUGGAAAGCUAGAGUAUGGGAGAGGAUGGUAGAAUUCCAGGUGUAGCGGUGAAAUGCGUAGAGAUCUGGAGGAAUACCGAUGGCGAAGGCAGCCAUCUGGCCUAAUACUGACGCUGAGGUACGAAAGCAUGGGGAGCAAACAGGAUUAGAUACCCCAGUAGUCC